rnacentral:rRNA from 1 species
GAUGAACGCUAGCGGCAGGCCUAAUACAUGCAAGUCGAACGGCAAGAUUUGGUAGCAAUACUAAAUCCUAGAGUGGCGCACGGGUGAGUAACGCGUACAUGACAUACCUAUAAGCGAGGGAUAGCAUUGGGAAACUGGUAGUAACCCCUCAUGUGAUUAUUUGUAAUAAAGGUAAAUAAUUAAAACUACGGUGCUUAUAGAUUGGUGUGCGUCUGAUUAGCUAGUUGGCGAGGUAACGGCUCACCAAGGCGACGAUCAGUAGGGGGCGUGAGAGCGUGAACCCCCACACGGGUACUGAGACACGGACCCGACUCCUACGGGAGGCAGCAGUAAGGAAUAUUGGUCAAUGGAGGGAACUCUGAACCAGCCAUGCCGCGUGCAGGAUGAAAGCCCUCUGGGUUGUAAACUGCUUUUUAACAGGGAAGAAAAUGCUAUACGUGAUAUAGUACUGACGGUACCUGAGAAUAAGCACGGCUAACUCCGUGCCAGCAG